UAAAUGGUUGUGUAUAAUCUGAGGGCAUUAUAAAACAAGCUCUCAUCGACCCAGUUCCAGUGGCUGCAAAAACAACUGCUCGAGUAUAAAGCCUAAUGCGAAAAAUUCGCAGAAAUCUGUCAUCGCCUUGUCAACGCUUCGUCAUCGUCAUCCUCAGUGGCAGUGGCAGUGGCAGCACAGGAAGAAGCCAGCGGACCAUGGAGUCACUGAGCCCGAAAAACCAAACCGUUCUGCCCCACCCCUCCCUUCUCUUGGCUUCCCAGUGCCUGGCAAAGUGUGGCUCCAAUUGGCGGACAGACAAGCGGACAAACGGACGGACAAACGAAAAUAUUGUUCCAUCAAAAAUCUGAGCAACGUUUGCUGAUUUACACGUUGAUGCCUUUGCUGCCGUCGCCGUUGUCACUGUCGGCGAUCAUAUCAAAGCGGCCGGCAUACAGAUAAGCAAGAGUGUAGGAGUUUGGGAGCUAAAUAAAAAAUAAAAAGGACUGCCAAAGGCUCCGACAACUGAAGGCGAGGGGAGCUUGACGACAGUGGAAAGCCAAAGUCUCCGAUCCUGACCAAUCUCUGGCGACAUAAACUGGCGUCUAUCCAAUUGCUGUCUCCAUGCCCUCUGAUUAACGAAGAAUCGCCCGCAUUUCGGACCAACGCUUUUCUGGCCGUGUGUCUGCGGACAACCGCUUAGAUGGAGAGCUCGAGAGCUGGAGAGCUGGACAAACGGAU
rnacentral:sRNA from 1 species